rnacentral:tRNA from 4 species
UGCCGGGUCGUCUAAUGGUCGGACAGCGGUCUUUGAAGCCGCGAAUGAGGGUUCGAUUCCUUCCCCGGCAG